UCAGUCGGUGGAGCAGUUGACUUUUAAUCAAUGGGUCACAGGUUCGAGCCGAGCGAAGCGAGACAACAGCGCGUGAGCGCUGGCCCGCAGUAAAAAAAGUCAUGAGUAAUGCGAACACUCAAACUA
rnacentral:sRNA from 1 species